rnacentral:rRNA from 1 species
GACGAACGCUGGCGGCGUGCUUAACACAUGCAAGUCGAACGGAAAGGCCCCUGUAAUGGUACUCGCGUGGCGAACGGGGGAGUAACACGUGAGUAACCUGCCCUUGACUUCGGGAUAACUUCAGGAAACUGGGUCUAAUACCGGAUAGGAAUCCUUGCUGCAUGGUGGGGGUUGGAAAGCUUCGGCGGUUUUGGAUGGACUGGCGGCUUAUCAGCUUGUUGGUGGGGUAGUGGCUUACCAAGGCUUUGACGGGUAGCCGGCCGGAGAGGGCGACCGGCCACCUUGGGACUGAGAUAAGGCACAGACUGCUACGGGAGGACGAAGUGGGGAAUAUUGAACAAUGGGCGGCAGCCUGAUGAAGCAAGGCCGCGUGUGGGAUGACGGCCUUCUGGUUGUCAACCGCUUUCAGCAUGAGCGAAGCUUGUGAUGACGGUACCUGAAGAAGAAGCACCGGCUAACUACGUG